rnacentral:rRNA from 1 species
GACGAACGCUGGCGGCGUGCUUAACACAUGCAAGUCGAGCGGUAAGGCCCUUUCGGGGGUACACGAGCGGCGAACGGGUGAGUAACACGUGGGUGACCUGCCCUCAGCUCUGGGAUAAGCCUGGGAAACCGGGUCUAAUACUGGAUAUGACUCCAUGACGCAUGUUGUGGGGUGGAAAGCCUUGUGCGGCUGAGGAUGGGCCCGCGGCCUAUCAGCCUGUUGGUGGGGUGANGGCCUACCAAGGCGACGACGGGUAGCCGGCCUGAGAGGGCGACCGGCCACACUGGGACUGAGACACGGCCCAGACUCCUACGGGAGGCAGCAGUGGGGAAUCUUGCGCAAUGGGCGAAAGCCUGACGCAGCGACGCCGCGUGAGGGAUGACGGCCUGGUU